UACGUAGGGUGCGAGCGUUGUCCGGAAUUAUUGGGCGUAAAGGGCUCGUAGGCGGUUUGUCGCGUCGGGAGUGAAAACCCAGGGCUUAACUCUGGGCUGGCUUUCGAUACGGGCAGACUAGAGGUAUGCAGGGGAGAACGGAAUUCCGUGGUGUAGCGGUGAAAUGCGCAGAUAUCGAGGAGGAACACCGGGUGGCGAAGG
rnacentral:rRNA from 1 species